rnacentral:rRNA from 1 species
UACGGAGGGUGCAAGCGUUGUUCGGAAUUACUGGGCGUAAAGCGUGCGCAGGCGGUUUUGUAAGUCAGAUGUGAAAUCCCCGGGCUUAACCUGGGAACUGCGUUUGAAACUACAAGGCUAGAGUGUGGCAGAGGGGGGUGGAAUUCCACGUGUAGCAGUGAAAUGCGUAGAGAUGUGGAGGAACACCGAUGGCGAAGGCAGCCCCCUGGGUUAACACUGACGCUCAGGCACGAAAGCGUGGGGAGCAAACAGG